GAUGAAAUGGCCGAGAUUAGGUAAUAAAUUGUAAAUUUAUUUACGAAAUUCAUUUUCUUUCAUC
rnacentral:tRNA from 1 species